AAUCUUGCGCAAUGGGCGAAAGCCUGACGCAGCGACACCGCGUGGGGGACGAAGGCCCUCGGGUUGUAAACCCCUUUCGGCAGGGAAGAAGCGAUCGUGACGGUACCUGCAGAAGAAGCCCCGGCUAACUACGUGCCAGCAGCCGCGGUAAGACGUAGGGGGCGAGCGUUGUCCGGAUUCAUUGGGCGUAAAGCGCGCGUAGGCGGCCCGGUAAGUCGGGUGUGAAAUCCUGGGGCUCAACCCCAGGACUGCACUCGAUACUGCCAGGCUAGAGGUAGGUAGGGGAGAUCGGAAUUCCUGGUGUAGCGGUGAAAUGCGCAGAUAUCAGGAGGAACACCGGUGGCGAAGGCGGAUCUCUGGGCCUUACCUGACGCUCAGGCGCGAAAGCUAGGGGAGCAAACAGGAUUAGAUACCCUGGUAGUCCUAGCCGUAAACGUUGGGUGCUAGGUGUGGGCGGAUAUCGACCCCGUCCGUGCCGAAGCUAACGCAUUAAGCACCCCGCCUGGGGAGUACGGCCGCAAGGCUA
rnacentral:rRNA from 1 species